GAUCAUUGGAUGAGUGUGAGGUGUUGGAUUGAUUUCACUUAAUCUAAGCCCCACAUUCAUCAGAGGCUCAU
rfam:Nicotiana sylvestris Nsyl_contig8081, whole genome shotgun sequence.